CUCCUGUUCUUUAACCCCUCCCCUUCCUUCUUCCCCUCCUCUAUAUUUCCGUUUGUGGUACCUGGGUAGCAGUGAAAAGAGAGUGUUUGAAUCUCCGAGGGCCUACAUUCAUCAAAAGUACUAAAACAGAUGGAAGCUGGCACCAAUGACUCUUUAAAGUCUUCCCUGACUGAUGAGAGAGAAGGAAGAAGUUAUUGCCAAACUGUUGAUUUAAUAAAAAUAUCUCCAACAGAGCAGACUUAUCUAAAGCUACCUAACGUGGUGAUGAUUAACCAAAUAAUAGAUUAGGUCUACCAUCCAGUGGUCAUGGAAGGAUUUGAACUCACAACACAGAGAGUUGGAAGAAAUACGAUGUUGGUAAUGUGUCCCCAAGGAUAUGAAGCAUGAUGACAGUAGAAGAAAUGACGCCAGAGGCAACCAUCAGAUGGGAGGAUGAUAAUGAACACAGGUGAAAAAUCUGAAGGAAAAAAAAAUAAUUCUGAAGCUGGUGAGAUGGUUUUUAGAUACAACUGAUGUCUGGAUAAAGAACUUUCUAAGAACGACAAGAGAAUAAUUGGCUGGUUGUUUGUCUUGACAGACAUCAACUCCAGAAGAACUACAAAUAAAUCUGAGUUAAUUGUAAUUGUUGAAAAUUCAUUACAAUUGCAUAAUGGAAGAAAAAAAUAAGUCCAGAUUAAUAAAACUCGAAAUAACUUUCA
rnacentral:lncRNA from 1 species